CCCUGCUCCCAGAGCUUCUCAUCUUUGUUUGUGCAGGUUUUGUUUCUCUGUGCCUACAAAGUGUUUGAUGAAAAUCCAAAAAGGCUAACGGCAUAGUAUUAGUCUAUAUAUUGGACUACAAUGUACAGAUGUGAGGAAUUGAGUUUGAACUACAUGUUUUCUUUCCAGACCUCGAGACCGCUGCUGAUGCCCCUGUGAUCGACUAUGUCACCGACGACACAUCUUCCGUUUCAGUGGAGCUUCCAGGCAAGCCCCUCCUUUGAUCAUCCCGAUAUCGCCCAUUUCAUUCUCUCUCUUGCUUGCAUUAGAUUUUGCUACUGUAAUUGAUUGCUCCUAUUCUGAUGCAUAGCCUGCUUUUGUACCUACUAUUGUUACCUAUCUGCUUGUCCUAAUCUGCUUAGUUUAGGUUGGUUAGUGAUCCAUCAGUGACCCCCACCUUGUCCUUGUUGCCCUGCUUCAUCAUCGACGACUCGAUCAAUGUGAUUAACGACCAGAGACCAACACAUCACUUCACCCCCUUGGUUGCACGACUUUGCAUAGUUACUAUCGA